UAUAAAAAAAUAUCAUUGCUCCUUCAAUGUCCAUUCAACACAGGCAGACGCUCACCCAUAAGAUCUGUAUGCAGUAAAUUAACUGCAUCUUGUUUUAUUUACUUUGAAAAGAUGAACAGCCAAGUCAACUGUACUCUGAUUUGACCCUGUGUAUCCAGGGAAUCUAGGUAUUUCAAACAAUCUUUAGGCCACUAAGCCAUUCUCUCUCUUGCACAUGCACAGGUAAUUUCUGAAAGCAGCAUAGAGGAGGAGUGGCAUACCAGUAUCUUUCUUAAUUUUCGCCAUUUUUAUAUUGGCACAAUCUCGUUGGGUUGGCUUGGCUAAGCUAGUUUUAGGGGCAGAUUCUGCCAGUGGUGCAGUGCAAAAGCACACUGCAGUGGCAAAUCUAGCCCCCAGCUGGUUUGAUAUAGUUUAUUUGGUUUGGGAUAAUUGAAAAUAGAAAUAUGGAUGAAAAUCACAGAGAAGAAAAUGAACAGGAUACUGCCUCAAAACUAAAAUGUGACUACAUACUAUUACAGCAUCUCUGAUGCAAUAAGAAGUACUGCACUAGUAAGAACAAUGCCACUUGGUGAUCAAACAUUGCAAUUUUAACCUUCUAUAACAGGCAAUGUCAGCUGUUCAGGAGAGAUGGACACCAUCAGUGUGAACUCUACUCAGUUUUAAAAUACAAGUUAUACGGUAUUCAGGUUCUAUACCUUCCUUAGAGUAUCCCCUGCUAAUGUUUAUGGUUUUACCAUAACAUGUUGCUAUUUUUAAAAUGUUUUUCCUCUCCCUUAAGUCUCUAUAAGACCCACAAAGGUAAACAGAGAAUCUAAUGGGGAAACAGUGAAAAACUUACUAUAUACAAAGUGCUGUCAAAUGUACAUGGAAACUAACGGGGGAAAAAAGGAAAUUAUUUUCCUCUACUAUCUAUCAGCUAUAGUAACCUUAGAUUUUGUGUGUCUCGAGUGACAAGAAGAAGGUUAUUCCUUUUAAAUAAAUAAAACUGUAUAACUGAAGUUAUAUAGAGCAUAUGGAUUUUUCCCCAUUCUCCAUUAAAGUUAAUUAUCUAUUCUCUCUCUCUCUUCAGAUAAUGUAACAUAUAUAUAUAUAGUCUGAGAGCAGCUUGUCUAUUUAAAUUGUUUCAACCGAAUUGCAUUUUAACACCAUGGAUUCUUGUAACACUAAAUUAUCUUUCCCACACUGAUAAAUGCGCUUAACAUUUAAAAGCAUGGUCAGUAAUGCUGGCAUUCAAAUUUCAGUAGCACAAUUAUCUGAAGUCUGUAGCAAGAAAAUUAGAAGUAGAGGUUAAUGAAAAGUACUACAUAGCACAAAGUUCUCUUAUGUAACAGAAACUCAAUUACUAGCUGAUUUAUUGGCCUUCAUUACUUUGUUUAAUCAAAGAUGAAAGGAAGACCUUACUUUGCAUUCCAUCCGGUUUAAAAUUUAUUUGACUGGAAACAGCACAUUAAGGGAAUUGUCACAAAUGUCUGCAUAUUAUGCACAACUGUUCUGUUACAAGUGUACCAAUCUGUACCAGUGUUAACUGGUAAUGGUUCAAAUGGUUACUAUAAAAAGAGUCAGGUCAAAAUGAAUUUUCAAAAAAUUCAGCCAGUUGAGCUUCUGGGAUGUCCACUUCACAUAAUAAAUACAUAAUAGUAAUACUACCUUUCCCUUCUUUAGCACCUUCCCUGUGAGGAUCUCAAAGCACAGUACAAAUAUUAAUGAAAUCAGCCUCACAACACCCAUUAGUAGUCAAUAGUAUCUCCAUUUUGCUGAUGAGCCACAGAGCAGUUAAGGUCAAGCAGCAAUUCUAUUAUGGAGGACAAUCUAUUAAUAGAAGAAGCUUUUCCUACAUGAAGGGUUAUGCUAAUUAUGGGCAUGGCUAAGACCUCAUACCUGAACUCUGGCUCUGAAGACAGUCAUUGGGAGGUUAGCACUAAUAGAGAAAGGAGUUGCAGACAGACACAAUAGGCUGAUUCUGUCCAGUUUUCCUUGGGUGUAUAUAUAUAUAUUUAAUCCAUAUAGAUCUACCUAUCUGAGGGUACGUCUACACUACCUGCCGGAUC